CGGUUAAAAAGCUCGUAGUUGGAUUUUUGUUGAGGUCGGGCGGUGUACACCUCGUGUAUUAUUUGCUUCGGUCUCGGCAUCCUCUUGGGGAACGUAUCAGGACUUUAUUGGACUGUGCGAGAUUCAAGACUUUUACUUUGAGGAAAUUAGAGUGUUCACGGCAGGCAAACGCCUUGAAUAUAUUAGCAUGGAAUAAUAAUAUAGGAUCUUGGUUCUAUUUUGUUGGUUUCUAGAGCUAAGAUAAUGAUUAAUAGGGACAAUUGGGGGCAUUCGUAUUAACGCGUCAGAGGUGAAAUUCUUGGAUUGCGUUACGACGAACUACUGCGAAAGCAUUUGCCAAGGAUGUUUUCAUUGAUCAAGAACGAAAGU
rnacentral:rRNA from 1 species